AAGUUCCAGCUCUACUUGCCGUCAGCUAUUGAACCAUGCUGCCAUCAGUCUUUAUAUACACCAUGCCAUCAGUUCUCAAAUAAUUCAAACCAGAUCUCAAAAAAUUCCCAAAGGCAAGGGUGCCCACUUUCCUCUCCUCCUCGAGUCUUGACUUCCCCCUUAAUUUCUUCUUGCUUGUAGCUAGCUUCUCCUGGUAGAGAAAAAUCAAGAUUUGUCAUCCUUGAAGAUGAAAGAUGUUUUAGAGGAAUUCAUCUAGUUCUGGUGAUUGGCUUUCUCCUAUUGCUUCUUCCCCUUCUGAAUCGACCUCCAACAGUGCAUCGUAGGUCUUUUCGUUGAGAGGCAAAGGUAAGAGUGUAAACCACGUUUCCCCCUUCUGCUCUUUAUUCUUCUGUUUGUUUUCUCAAUUCCAAGUGACGGAUAUAAGAUGCAGCAAGCAAGUUUAUUCUAAUCAUAUUGGAAAUAAUAUUUUUCUUGAUCCAAUUUUACCUGCAAUGCUCCUGUUCUUAGCAUUAUCUGUAUUUCCUUCUUAUCUUUCUGUGUAAUAAAAUGCUUAGAUGGAUCUCGAACCUAGUCCUAGUUUCAUUGUUCAACAAGCUAGAAUGUGUAAUAAACUGCUAUGUGAAUUGCAAGGCUUUUGACUAGUUGAUGGUGUCUCUGUUUUUGCUGCACCCUUUUGGUCAUGCAAUUGCUACACUCCAUGUGUUUAAACAAUUGCUAACAGCUAGUUAUUAGGUAACUGGUAUCAUCAUGCAUGGUACCACAAACUUAUUUGUGCUUGAAGCUGGACAGGAAACUUCUAACUUUUGGGGGCAUGUUCUUUGGCCUUGUAGAGUUACCUAUUUGUAAUAUAUUCUCAGAAUGUGAACUAAGACAUCUAGUGUAAUGUAAUUAUGAACUUCUUACUAGCCUAUGAAUUGGAAACUCUGUUUCGACCACCACUUAAACAUUCAUUUUGGCCUUUUUGUCAAACUUGUGAAUUGAAAUGAUUCAAAUAUUAGCUAGAACUAUCUUGCAAUAGAUAUCCUUUCUCUUGGGUAACCUCACUAUAGGCAACUAGCUCACAACCAAACGCUGCCUGGCACUUUUAUCUACUCAGGCUUUUCUUCAGGGACCCAACCAACGAGUGGAAAAAGGUGCUUGCCGUCAAGUUAAGUUCUGAACUUCUGAUGCGGCACGGUGGCGAACCAGUUCUGAUGGCGAACUACGCAGCCGACGCGGUGGUGGCCGCGGAUGGCAGCGGCCACUACAACACCAUCACCGCUGCCAUCGCCGCCGUGCCGCCCAACAACGACAAGAGAUAUGUGAUCCAUAUCAAGCGGGGUGUGUCAAGGAGUUCAUAGUCUUGGGUCUGGAGAAGUGGAAUGUCGUCCUCAUCGGCGACGGCAUGGAAGCAACAGUAAUAUCGGGCAAUCGGUGCUGUGCAGAUGGCUUCGACACACGAGGCACUGCACUGCUCUGUGAGCAUCCUUUCCUUCCGUCCAAGGCAAGGGCUUCAUUGCUCGUGACCUCUGCAUCGAGAACACGGCGGGCCCGAGGAAAGAGCUGGGGCAGGCGGUGGCGCUCCUGUCGGAGUCGGAUCAAUCCGUGCUGUACCGCUGCGCCCUGCGUGGUUACCAGGACACGCUCUGCGCAAGUAAUUUGAACCAAUUCUACCGCGAGUGCACGAUCACCGGCACGGUGGACUUCAUCUUCGGCAACGCCACGGCCGUGUUCCAGGACUGCAGCAUCCUAGCGCGGCGGCCAAUCCAGGGGCAGGAGAACACCAUCACGGCGCAGGGACGAGAUGGUGCCACGAGCAACGGGGGCUUCUGCUUCCAGGCCUGCACCGUGGCGGGCGACGAGGAUUUCGCUGCUCACGGCAAGGGAACCGUGCAGACGUACCUUGGUCGCCCGUGGAAGCCGUACUCGCGCGUGAUCUUCAUGCAGACCACCAUCUCCGACGUCCUGGACCCCAAGGGAUGGCUGCCGUGGGAGGGCGAGGUCCCCCAUGACACCCUGUACUACGCGGAGUACAAGAACGAAGGCCCUGGUGCCGCGACCGGUGGCAGGGUGAACUGGCGCGGCGUCCACGCCACCAUUGACGCGUCCGAGGCAAGCUCCUUCACCGUGGAGAAGUUUAUCAACGGCAACGCUUGGCUGCCGAGUACUGGAGUGGAGUACAGGCCGGGGCUCUGAAUCUCUGAUGUGAUGACCGCGAUUAGGCGUAUCAGUUUCAGUCAGUAGCUCCAAAAGUUGCGAUCUUUGUUUCAGGGAUGUGAGAUGUGAACUCAAUGUUAUCUUGUGCUUGUAGCGUGAGAUGUGAACUCACUGUUA